GACGAACGCUGGCGGCGUGCUUAACACAUGCAAGUCGAACGGAAAGGCCCUGCUUUUGUGGGGUGCUCGAGUGGCGAACGGGUGAGUAACACGUGAGUAACCUGCCCUUGACUUUGGGAUAACUUCAGGAAACUGGGGCUAAUACCGGAUAGGAGCUCCUGCUGCAUGGUGGGGGUUGGAAAGUUUCGGCGGUUGGGGAUGGACUCGCGGCUUAUCAGCUUGUUGGUGGGGUAGUGGCUUACCAAGGCUUUGACGGGUAGCCGGCCUGAGAGGGUGACCGGCCACAUUGGGACUGAGAUACGGACCAGAAUACUACGGGAGGCAGCAGUGGGGAAUAGUGCACAAUGGGCGGAAGCCUGAUGCAGAAAAGCCGCGUGCGGGAUGAAGGCCUGCGGGUUGUAAACAGAUUUCGCAUGUGACGAAGAGUGAGUGACGGUAAUGGGUAAAGAAGCACCGGCUAACUACGUG
rnacentral:rRNA from 1 species